rnacentral:rRNA from 1 species
UACGUAGGGUGCGAGCGUUAAUCGGAAUUAUUGGGCGUAAAGCGUGCGCAGGCGGUUUUGUAAGUCAGAUGUGAAAGCCCCGGGUUUAACCUGGGAAUGGCAUUUGGGACUGCAAGGCUUGAGUGCGGCAGAGGAGACUGGAAUUCCUGGUGUAGCAGUGAAAUGCGUAGAUAUCAGGAGGAAUACUGAUGGCGAAGGCAGGUCUCUGGGCUGACACUGACGCUCAUGCACGAAAGCGUGGGGAGCAAACAGG